rnacentral:rRNA from 1 species
GACGUAGGGCGCGAGCGUUGUCCGGAUUUAUUGGGCGUAAAGAGCUCGUAGGCGGCUUGUCGCGUCGUCCGUGAAAACCUGCAGCUCAACUGCAGGCUUGCGGGCGAUACGGGCAGGCUAGAGUUCGGUAGGGGAGACUGGAAUUCCUGGUGUAGCGGUGAAAUGCGCAGAUAUCAGGAAGAACACCCGUGGCUAAGGCGGCUCUCUAGUACGGUACUGACGCUGAGACGCGAAAGCGUGGGGAGCGAACAGG